AUUGAACGCUGGCGGCAGGCCUAACACAUGCAAGUCGAGCGAGCGGCGGACGGGUGCGUAAUGUCUGGGAAACUGCCUGAUGGAGGGGGAUAACUACUGGAAACGGUAGCUAAUACCGCAUCCACUCAGAUGUGCCCAGAUGGGAUUCGCUAGUAGGUGGGGUAACGGCUCACCUAGGCGACGAUCCCUAGCGGGUCUGAGAGGAUGACCAGCCACACUGGAACGGAGACACGGUACAGACGCCGACGGGAGGCAGCAGUGGGGAAGAUUGCACAAUGGGCGCAAGCCUGAUGCAGCCAUGCCGCGUGUGUGAAGAAGGCCGUCGGGUUGUAAAGCACUUUCAGCGGGGAGGCGUUACCCGCAGAAGAAGCACCGGCUAACUCCGUGCCAGCAGCCGCGGUAAUAC
rnacentral:rRNA from 1 species